UACGGAGGGUGCGAGCGUUGUCCGGAAUCAUUGGGCGUAAAGGGCGCGUAGGUGGCCCGGUCAGUCUUUGGUGAAAGCGCGGGGCUCAACCCUGCGUCGGCCAGGGAUACUGCCGCGGCUCGAGCACUGUAGAGGCAGGCGGAAUUCCGGGUGUAGCGGUGGAAUGCGUAGAUAUCGGGAGGAACACCAGUGGCGAAGGCGACUACCUGGCCUGUUCUUGACGCUGAGGCGCGAAAGCUAGGGGAGCAAACGGG
rnacentral:rRNA from 1 species